UGAUUACGUCCCUGCCCUUUGUACACACCGCCCGUCGCUACCCGGGACUGAACCCGUUUCGAGAAAUCCAGGGAAUCGCCCGCCGGGUCCGCCUGUGCGAGUGGUGAACUGGCGUGAUCGCGACGGUUUGAACCGGGUAAAAGUCGUAACAAGGUACCGGUAGGUGAACCUGCCGGUGGAUCACUAUCGACUCGCGUGUCCAGCGUUUCGAGUAGUGCAUCAUCUGUGUGUAAGUAAGUGUGACUGUCGUGUUGGCGCUGUACGCUGAUGCGGGCGCAGUCAUACGCUGUGUGUAAGCUCUGCUUGAGGAGCAUCUGACUAACGGUCAGGCUGGUGUCUAGAAGUUUAUCGCGUAUCCGUCGUCCGUCGGAUGCUGUUAAGGUAGACUUGGAGGCCGUGAACUUCGGUUUGCAGCGCCUAGACUCAAUGAGCGUCCGCCUCGUGCGCCGCCAGCCGAACAAUCAAGUCUUGUGUUAGAAAUGUCAACUCGUGAGGUGUAAAAGCUGAACGAGCGCGCUUUAGCGCGGUGUAUGAACCUCACUUUCAGUGGUGGAUCACUCGGCUCGAAGAUCGAUGAAGAACGCAGCCAGCUGCGUUAAGUAGUGCGAAUUGCAAACACGUUGAGCACUGAAAUUUCGAACGCAUAUUGCGCCGGCGGGUUUCCCCGCCGGCACGUCUGUCUGAGGGUUGCCGAACGACUACUUGCCGAAAGGCUGUGUCGAUGGGUGUGGCGUUCGCGCCGUCGCCAUCUAGGUUCUGGCAAUAACGGUCAAUGGGCGGCGUCGUGCCUCUGACGCCCUACCGUUUGUUUUGCGCAGUCUCUGCCGCUCACAGUCGCUUCUUUGUGUGGCGGUAAGGACAUGCCUCUGGACGCAGAACGCAAAGUUGAGACCUCAGCUCAGACGUGAUUACCCGCUGAACUUAAGCAUAUUACUAAGCGGAGGAAAAGAAAUUAACGAAGAUUCCCUUAGUAACGGCGAGUGA
rnacentral:rRNA from 1 species